rnacentral:lncRNA from 1 species
CUCCGACACCGCGCGCUCUGCUGCCGUGCUGGGACAGAGCACCCGGACCCGCGGCAGCGGCGACAGCGGCGCUACCUACCCUCUACUGCAACACCCAACGAGCCAGGAAGCAACCAAGCUACGGGCCCUCGGGACGCCUAAAGGAGCCUGUUUGUGUGCUGUUGCCACGUUCUGCUGUGCCUGGGUCUUGUCUUCUGCCUGUAGCUUCGAUUUCGGUCCGGCUGGAUUUGGGGGACAACACUGCCUGUCGCAGGGACAUCAAGUGAGACUUCAAAGAAGCAUAAAAUGAAUAGACUAUUCAAUCAAACAAAGACCGGGGGCAGCAGUACUCCAGCAAGACAGCAUCUUCUCCCCAGCCUAGAAGUCCUGAGAAAUCGAGGAUCUCCCCCUAAAACAUUCACAUACAAGAUAUGUGCAAUCAAGCUGCCAGCACUUGGUAAAAAGCUCAUGAUGCCUAACCCAAUGAUCCGGCGCAGAUCUUUGAAUCAGCUGUCACUUCUAUAGAAUGGGAUUUUCCCCCUCUUCCUCUUUUACCAGCGCUGGAAACUGCCGACUGCUUUAUACAUCUCAGUAGAGGAAGGCUAAAGAAUCUUACGUGAGAACGAAGCAAUUUACAAUGCAAAUAGAGGCCUGUGAAGUGAUGGACGCUGCAGCUCACUGGAACAGCUUGCUGCACCUUAGUCGCUGGUUCUCAUUUUCUGAUAUUAAUAGAUGAAUUGUUGGCUAACGCUGCUGGAGAUUACUUGCUGGAAGGGAAAAAAAAAGUUUGGAAUAAACUCUGAAUGCAACAGAUCUUAUUUGGAUGUUUAGCUGCACUCACUCAGACAGAAACCAGGUCAUGUUUGCAUGAAAAGAGGAAUCUUAAACGCGGCAAAAAUCCUGGAGGACUACACUUGUGUAGAUCCAGAGUGGAGCCGGAUCUGGAGUGGAGCCAGAGGAAGACUUCCUGUGAAGGAAGCGAGUUGUUAUCUUUGGUUAUCUAGCUGUAUGAGUGUAUUGGUCUUCAUAAAGCUAGAUAACCGAAAGUAAAAACUCCUUCAAGAUCACCGAGGAGCCGCCCAGAAUGAAAGCCUACAGCCAAGAGACAGUAAAGACCAGAAAGGUCAGGAAUGCUUAUUGAAUCUAACUUUUUUUCUUAUGAUUAAAAGUGGGAUGCAAGGAAAUUAAGUGACACACAUAUUUGAAAUCUAAAGGGGCCAGGUUUUGAGAGGGGCUGUACGACUGGAGAGGAGAAUUGUGUGGCUUUUAUGGAUGAAGAUGCAUGGGCUUUCUAUAUUGUUCUGUUUUGGAGCAAACGUUUACAUAUGAGAAAUGUUUUUCUUAGAAAGCUGUUAUAGUGAUGCCUGAUACCUCGUUUAAAAAUGAUGCAAUAAUUAUGUAGAUUUGGGCAGUUCCCUUUUGAGGCCCCUCCCUCAAGUUUGAAGCUUGUGCUUGGAAACUUUCUAUGUAUUUGGGGGCUGUACAUUAAAUUCUAUGAAGUUAGACUUUCAGUAAAGCUUAUAUUGGAAGGCUAAUAAUUUAUAUCUCCCGAGGACUUAGAGCUAGCAGGGAAAAUGGGGGGGGGGGCUCUGAUUUUUAUUCUUCUAUUCAAAAUACAAGGACAGAUGCUUCUCUGUUCCAAGAGGGUUUCCUUGAGGAAGUUACUGAAGCAGAAAGACAUGAUGGAGACGAGAUCGCCUCCCCUCUUGUCAAAGUGUUAAAAAAAUGUUCUGUCUUACUCUGCGCCUAGCAUUGGAAAUGAAAGUGACAUUUACGCCACAACCCACGUGUGCGCCUCCUCUCUUUUUGUUUAAGGAUGAUCAGGUCUAUCCAGGAAACAGCUCUGGCAUCCCAAACUGAAAUAAUUAGGACGUAUAUAGACCUGACAAAAAUGGAAAGGGGGUGGGGAAUCUGAGGGUCUGUCUUGCCUAAUUGAUUCCGCUAAACGGAAAGCAGGAGAUGUGAACGGCAGGACGCUCCGAUUCCCACGCUCGGGGGCAAGUGGUAAAGCCUGGCCGGCAGCCUAUGACAGACAGCCCUGUUGGGGGGCAGGGGUAUGAAAAAAACAUCAAGCACACACACCAUACUCAUCUCCAUCGCUUAAGAAAGUAAAGGCAUUUCCCACCCACAGCCAUCUGCAGCCUCCCAAAUGGCAACACCAACUGGUUGGUAGCUGCUGCAUACUGUUUCUGUUAAUUUUUAAACCACUGUUUAAUCUGGCCACCAUUAAAUUUGGCUUUCUACUUUGGUUGAAAUUUUCAUUAUUUAAGGAAAGCAAGUGGAAAGGGAUGCCAAGAACGUCCCUUGGAGAAAUUCUCAGCCUAUGGUUAGGGCCUUGUGAUCACCUUUGGGCUUUUCUUUUGGCUGUGUUAUAUUAUAAGUCUCGUCUGAUAACACUCUGACUUAGUUCAUCAGGCUGUUUACUUCUCUAUGUGACACAGGAACUUGGCCUACUUAUGCUAAUCUACAUCCUGGAAAUAAAGCUAUAAAGUCAUCAGUCUGUAGAAAGUUGACUACAAUCACAAUGCGUUUAAAACUUGUUUUAGAACAGUCUUAGCAGGACGUGUGCUACAGCUUCUUCUUCUUCUUCUUCUUCUUCUUCUUCUUCUUCUUCUUCUUCUUCUUCUUCUUCUUCUUCUUCUUCUUCUUCUUCUUCUUCUUCUUCUUCUCUUUUUCCCUAAAAGUAACUAGUUCUAGCAGAAACUUUGAAGUUUUGGAGAAAUUCAUUGUAAAGCUUUUCUGAAAUUCCUUAUAUUUUGUUACAUGUUAUCAGGCAAACAUUUGUGUAGACAUUUGCACAUAAACACAACCAUUGCAAUAAAAAAAUUGUCCAAAAUUGCCUGUUAUCUUCCACAUGGCCUAAAUUACUGACACUCCCAAAUACAUAAUUUUUCUUCAGGGACAGUGCAUUUUUCUUUAUUACUUCAAUUUCUUAUAAGACUGAGACUGGGAAGGCCUGAAAAGCCACUGUUAGCUUCACAUAGAAAAAGCUGAGAGACUUUAAUAACGCAAAUUCUCAAUUUGGCUGCUGAACACGUGCCAAAGUUUUACUACUGUAGUGACUGUUGAGAAGACCCGUGUUUGUUUACCUUUGAAGCACUGUUUGUGCAAACAAGCUUUCAUUGUAAAGUGCCUGUGUUCCUUUCAUUUGCCCCAUGUCCAGGGGUGCUAUUUACCUAGAACCAUUGUCUACUACAAUUAACAUUUACAUUACAAAGUGUGUGGUUUUCUUUCUCAAGGAGGUUCAAUUAAGGCAAUAAGAUGUUUGCUGGGGAAACCUAUUGUUUACUCAAAGCACUCAAUGGAGUCAAAUUACUGAAGUUUUUGCCUACAUCUUGGUCGUUUAUGUAAAUAUGUUAACUAUAACAUCUAAGGAAAAUAAACAAUAUUAAAAUUAUGUGUUUGCCAUUGUCAUAUCAAACUUGCUUUGUAUCAUACUAAUGUUACAUAACUUAUCGAUCAAUAAAAAUACAUUUCAAUGUUAUUUUCAUUUUAUUUUUUUGCUACUCCACUGCUCUUGCUGCAACAUGUCCCCAAUUUUUUUUCUAUUACACAUCAAACUUCUGACAUUUUGUUUUAUUUGUGUGUGUUGAAAGAGGUACCAUAUUUGAGCAUGGGUGUAAAGGGUGUCCAAGAUAAUCUCUACAAUUACCUUAUCAUAAGGUGAUUUUUUUUUAAAUCUGAAAUAUUCCUAAGGCAUGCACAUUUAAGUCAAAAGAAGUGUAAAUAUCAGUUAAGCAGUUCUUUGAAAGCUAGUUUUAGCAUUGGCAGAAACCGGAUCGAGUUUAUUUAGCAUACCCCUGCAUUGUAAAACAGUUGGAGGGAAGUUGCAGGUUGCGUGAGUAUGCAUGUUAACUAGUGGGAACCAAGGCAGUCUUUGUGACAGGGAAGCAGCAGAUUGCUGUGCAAGGCCAAUGUUAAAAAGGCAGCUGAAUUUAACACCAUCUGGAAGAAAAGAUCCCUUCACGACUUUCUCACACCGUCAGACAAAACUAGUGUCUCUUGUUCUGAGCCCUUGUCUAUGCAACCAUACAAUACUGAGUCAUUAUACUUUUGCUGAGAGAAAAUUUGAGAACACAAUAUGGGUAACCAGUGAAUGACCAAGUUUCAUUGUGCCCGUCUAAGUCGAUUGAAAUCUACGUCUAGAGCUAUGAAUGGUUGUAUUGUUUUCCUCACCAGGGCUGUACUAAAUGUCAGCACAGUGUAAAGAAAAACUUGAAGUCUGCAAAUAACUUACCAGAUCUCAAUUAUAAUAUUUUCCCACACUAGAACUAAUAUCAUUGCAAGGGGCUACAUUGCAGAAAAUACAAAAAGAGAUGAGAAGAAAUAAAAGAGUUCAUUACGAAGUUAUUUUAUCUAUACAAACAUUUUAAUUUUCUGAUUCGAAGUUUAGAAUGCAGGCCUAGUUGAGGAGUGGAGUUCAUUACUUGGAUGCUGAAGUUACAAAAAUGCUCUUGUGCAAUUAAAAUAGAUUAAGAACAAAUUCUCACCUCUACCUGAAACUAAUUAUGCAUCAAUGAACUCCACUUGGAUUUUAUUGCUAUAGUUUGAUUAGAAUUGCUAGUGUGACUCUAUCUUAAAUUUUGUUUUGAGUUUUAGCAUGCUACUCUUUCAAAGUUUGCCACUAUCAUUGACACUGUAAACAAACACCAUAGAAAUACAUUUGCCAAUAUACACAGAAGUAUACUGGGGGAUUCUAGUGCCUUCAAAAUAUGUUUCCUAUUUAUAAUUUCUAAUUUGUUUUUACACAGAAUAUCAAUCAGUUAUCUUCAAGGUUAAUAUUCACCUGUUCUAUUUGAUUGUAAACAGUUAGAAAAGGUAACAAAACAAUUCAAAAAUAGUAAAAGAAGUCAAUUGUGUAUAUUUUAUUAAGAUGUCUUUAAAUAUAAUUGACUUUGCAAUUUUGUUAUUGUGUCACUAAGUGUCACAUAGUUCUUAAUGUGUAAGUGCAAAACAAUGAGUAAUUGCUGUUUUGCUGAAUAAUACAUCUGAGUUGCCAAUAUCAAAUGUCUUAUUUUGUGUAUUCCCAAACAGGAGCAUUAGCUGCUGUUUUUGACAUUUAGAACCUUUUCAGGAAUUCUGAGAAAGAGGACGAUAAAAUGAUACCUUUAAAAGUAAAUGUAAAGCUAUAAGCAACUUAUUUUCCUUGUCUUAUUUUGUGAUACUAGAAAUUAACAAUGAAAAGUCAGUCAUUCAAAAUCAAAUUAUAAAGCAUAUAAUAUUAAACACAGAUAAAAAUCCAACACAGCAACAAAAAUGGAAAUUGAAUAGAAGUUAAAACACAGAUACACAGAAGACUUCUAUAAUACCUUGCCAAAAUAUGCAUGGGUAUAAUAUUAGUGUCUUUCCCUCACUGAAGUUAUGCAUAAUAAUGAGAUAGCUACAAUAGUUACAUUCAAAAUAAAAUAUUUUUUCAAAAUAGUUCUUCAAGUCUUCAAGCAUU